AUUGAACGCUGGCGGCAUGCCUAACACAUGCAAGUCGAACGGCAGCACGGGGGCAACCCUGGUGGCGAGUGGCGGACGGGUGAGGAAUGCAUAGGAAUCUGCCCAGUUGUGGGGGAUAACGUAGGGAAACUUACGCUAAUACCGCAUACGCCCUGAGGGGGAAAGUGGGGGAUCUUCGGACCUCACGUUAAUGGAGCGGCCGAUAUCUGAUUAGCUAGUUGGUAGGGUAAAAGCCUACCAAGGCGACGAUCAGUAGCUGGUCUGAGAGGAUGAUCAGCCACACUGGGACUGAGACACGGCCCAGACUCCUACGGGAGGCAGCAGUGGGGAAUUUUGGACAAUGGGCGCAAGCCUGAUCCAGCCAUGCCGCGUGAGUGAAGAAGGCCUUCGGGUUGUAAAGCUCUUUCGCAAGGAAAGAAAACUUACAUGUAAAUAAU
rnacentral:rRNA from 1 species